rnacentral:other from 1 species
CAACCUCUGCGGUGUUUGUGCUGAGCGAGGCUUGCAAGGCUCAACCGACAACCACACGGAGGGGGCCAGCGGAACUGCCCGUGGAAAACCAGCCUCUCCCGAGGACGUUUGAAGCGGGCAUCUGACUCCCACUUUGAUGUAGGGUUGACGCUCCCUCGCUCCACGGCACAAGCGGAGGUUGU